rnacentral:rRNA from 1 species
CUACGGGAGGCUGCAGUCGAGGAAAUUUUACAAUGCUCGCAAGAGUGAUAGAAUAAACCAGAGUGUUUCUUUUAAAGAAACUUUUGUAUGUUGUAAAAAGACAUGCGAAUAAGGACUGGGCAAGACCGGUGCCAGCCGCCGCGGUAAUACCGGCGGUCCAAGUCGUAUCCACAUUUAUUGGGUCUAAAACAUUCGUAGCUUGUUUUGUAAGUUUCUUGUGAAAUUUAACAUCUCAAAUGUUAAGUGUGCAAGAAAUACUACAUUGCUAGAGACCGGAAGAUGCAAAGAGUAUGGUUGAGGUAGCGGUAAAAUGUGUUAAUCUCAAUUAGACUAACAAUGGCGAAGGCACUUUGCAAGUACGGAUCUGACAGUGAGGGAUGAAGGCUAGGGGCGCAAAACGGAUUAGAUACCCUAGUAGUC